UUUUAACUCACCGAAGUUUGUUAUUAUCCAUUCCUUGAAGAGUGAUUCUGUCAUCAGGAGGCGCUCCUUCUCCAUCAAGCCUUGUUCCAUUGUUGAUGUGGAACUGUGAUCAUCUUUAGAGGAAGAGGCGUUCUGACUUUGAGUAUUCUCAGCUUUUUUACGCUGGUUUCUUCCCGUCAUUGUAAAUUUAUCCUCCUGUAGUCUUUGAAAUUACCAACUUUCAGAUUAGGUCUCUUGAGUGGACGUCCAGGUUGUUAGUUCCCAGGGCCAGAGCAGCGGCGUUAAAACUGAUGGUGCUUUUCUGCCCAGGAUUCUCCUGUUGGGCUUCCUUCUUGUUUCCAUAGUAGGCGACUCUGCCUUCCCUGGGCUCCAAACCUUGGUCAGAAGGGGAAGCGGUCCCGUUUACUCUGCUCCGAGAGCUGCCGCCGAGGUGCCGGCGGAACCACUGCGCCGACCACGAGAGUCGCGCUGGCGACCCAUGUGUUUCCACCACUGGGGGAUCUUCUGCUCCGUGAGCGACCAGACUUUGUCUGAAAGUGUGGCGUCCUCUAGUUCUCCGCGCCUUCCCUGAGAGCUGCAAUCCCGGGAUGUUAGCGAUUGGCCAUCUUGGAUCGUUCUCUCCGGAUCAAUAAUAUUCUAUUGUAUAGAUAUACCACGAUUUAUCCAUUCAUUAGUUGAUGGACAUUUGGGUUGUUUCCACCUAUUAACAUUCAUGGAUGAGUUUUUGCAUGCAUCUCUCUUGGACAUUGUGAUGGUUAAUAUUGAGUGUCAACUUGAUUGGAUUGAAGGAUGCAAAGUAUUGUUCCUGGGUGUGUCUGUGAGGGUUUUGCCAAAGGAUAUUAACAUAUGAGUCAGUGGACUGGGAGAGGCAGACUCUUCCUCAAUCUGAGUGGACACCAUCUAGUCAGCUGUUAGCACAGCCAGAAUAAAAAGCAGAGGAACGUGGAAAGAAUCGACUGACUUAGUCUUCUGGUCUACAUCUUUCUUCAGUGCUGGAUGUUUCCUGCCCUUGGACAUCAGACUCCAAGUCCUUCAGCUUUGGGAUCCUCAGAUCUUUGACCACAGACUGAGGUUGCCCUGUUGGCUUCCCUACUUUUAAGGUUUUCGGAUUCAAACUGGCUUCCUUGCUCCUCAGCUUGCAGACACCCUAUUGCGGGACUUCACCUUGUGAUUGUAUCCUGGUGUCACUAUGGGCCGCCGCCCCGCCUGUUGUUACCGAUAUUGUAAGAAAAGGCCGUACCCAAAGUCCCGCUUCUGCCGACGUGUCCCUGACGCCAAGAUUCGCAUCUUUGACCUGGGGUGAAAGAAGGCAAAAGUGGAUGAGUUUCCACUCUGUGGCCACAUGGUAUGGGAUGAAUAUGAGCAGCUCUCCUCUGAAGCCCUGGAGGCUGCCCGAAUUUGUGCCAAUAAGUACAUGGUGAAAAGUUGUGGCAAAGAUGGCUUUCAUAUCCGAGUGCGGCUCGAUCCCUUCCACGUCAUCCGCAUCAACAAGAUGUUGUCCUGUGCUGGGUCUGACAGGCUCCAAACAGGCAUGCGAGGAGCCUUUGGAAAGCCCCAGGGCACUGCGGCCAGGGUUCACAUUGGCCAAGUGAUCAUGUCCAUCCGCACCAAGCUGCAGAACAAGGAGCAUGUGAUUGAGGCCCGGCGCAGGGCCAAGUUCAAGUUCCCUGGCCGCCAGAAGAUCCACAUCUCAAAGAAGUGGGGCUUCACCAAGUUCAAUGCCGAUGAAUUUGAAGACAUGGUGGCUGAGAAGCAGCUCAUCCCAGAUGGCUGUGGGGUUAAGUACAUCCCCAGUCCUGGCCCUCUGGACAAGUGGCGGGCCCUGCACUCAUGAGGGCUUCCACUGUGCUACCCUCUCAUAAUAAUGAACCAAUAAAUUUACUUCCUGUCCAAAAAAAAAAAAAAAAAUUUUUUUUUCAAAUAGAUUUAAUUAUGGCAGUAUAUUGACAAGAUAGUUGAUAUGACACUGAUCAUUAACGAGGUGACUAGGCCGUUUUUAUGAAACCCAAGAAUUGAUCACAGAAAAGCCCUGAGCCAUUACUUUAAAAAAGACUGCACAGCAUAUAUAGUGGCUUUUUAAAAGUUAACGUACAUCAAACAAAGAAAUAUUUCUAAAAACCCAAGCAAUAUUGAAAUCGGAAACAUUUUUCUGUUGAAGUCAACUGAAGAAAAUAACAUCGGGAAACCAAAAAGUAAAAAGCAUUUCUUUUCAAGAUGCCUCUUCUAUAAAUCCUUUAAAGUCCAGCAGAGUGUACAAAAAGCACUUUUAUAAAGCAGGAAGGUAGGAAAAAAACCCUCGUUGGCAUUUCUGCUUUUUAUUGAAUAACUGCAAGAAAGUGGCUAUGAAGGAAGAGAAAAAAGGAAAUGGGUUAAGUGAAAAAUACGACAAGACAAUCAAAGAAAAUGAAGUGAGUGUGGAGGCAGAUUUAAUGCCUUGUACUUCAGAGAAAUCAGGUGGGGAAAAUUAUCUUGUGAGAUAGCCAAGCAGAUGGUAUACUAAAGAAUCCUGGGUUUCUCUGAAGACCGGCUUACCUUAAUUGAAGUUCUGGGGUAGGGGGAGAAGUUUUUCUGAAUAGAGAAUGAGCAGAUUGUCUCCCCUUCUCAAAUGCUGCUAAGAGAAAGUAGAAGUGGUGAUUACUCAUGGAAAAAUAUCAAUGAUGAAAUUUGUUUACAUGUCUAGACUUUUAGAACUAAACAGUAGAAAAUGUGCAUUGGCUACUCAGCUUGAGGUGACGCCUGACUCAGUAAAAUUGUUUGUGGCACCAGGGCUGCUUGUAGGAAUGAUUGAUUCUAUGGUGCGGCCAGGAGUAUACAUGAUGAGCCUGGAGCAUCUUGUGCUCCCAGAGUAAACACACACAACACACACACAUACACACACAUAUACACACACACACAGAAUAUGAUGAAGAUAUGUGAAAGGGACACAAGAGUCAAUUGAAAGAGCUUCAAAUGGCCUAUACUGAUGUAAAUAAAUAAUUGAAUAAAUAGAUAAAUGGGGAGAAUAGACACAUCUUCCAUGCAUAAGAAUUCUGAACAAUUUUUGUAAAUACUCCACCCUUGGAAAAGUACAGCUCCACUCAACUCUCAAUUUGUUAAGUGUGGGCUGUACAUAGCGACUUUCUUCCAAAGAAUGUAGUAUAAAAAAUGGGAGAAUAAGAUUAUUACCCUGGAGGUUCCUGACAAACACUACCUUAGCCAGGUGAUCAAGGUCAACAUCAACACUAAUCAGCCAUAUUGCUAGUAUGUACCCUUGACAUGGUGUGAUGAGAAUGGCACUUUACCUCUGUGGUCUUCUCUAAAACCCAUAGUUACCUAUCUAGUCAUGAGAAAAACUUCGGAUAAAUUCCAGGUGAAGGACAUUCUACAAAACAUGUAACUAAUCUUCCUUAAAACUUUCAAGGUCAUUAAAAACAAAGACAGUCUGAGAAACUGCCACAGCCUAGAGGAGCCUGAGGACACAUGAUGAACUAAUGUCAUGUGAUGUCUUGCAUGGGGUGCUGGGACAGAAAAAGGAAAUUAUGUAAAAACUAAGGACAUUUGAAAAAAGUAUGGACUUUAGUUAAUAGUAAUGUGUCAAUAUUAGUUCUUUAAUUGUGACAAAUGUGCCAAACUAAUGCAUAUGGUUUGAAUCUGUCUCCCCACCAAAUCUCACAUUGAAUUGUAAUCCCCAGUGUUGGAGGUGAAGCCUGGUGGGAGGUGAUUGGAUGGUGGGCUGUUUCCCGUGAAUGGUUUGGCACCAUCCCAUUGGUGCUGUUGCCGUGAUACUGAGUGACUGAGUUCUCAGGAGAUCUUGUUGUUUAAGAGCGUGUAGCGUCACCCCACCCCUUCUGCCUCCUGCUCCGCCGUGUAAGGCGGGGGCUUCCUUAUCGACUUCUGCCAUGAAUUUACGUUUCCUGAGGUCUCCCAGAAGCCAGACAGAUGUCACUAUGCUUCCUGUGCAGCCUGCAGAACUGUGAGCCAGUUAAAUUUCUUUUCUUUGUAAAUUACCCAGUUGCAGGCAUGUCUUUAGAGCAAUGCAGGAACCUACUAAUACCUGGAGAAAACUGGGUGAGAGGAAUAUGGAAACGUACUAUCUUCACAACUGUUCAGGAAAUCUCAAACCAUUCUAAUAUUGAAAGUUUAUGUAGACAUUAAAAAAUGUUUGUGAUAAAUGCUGGCACCUGAAGAUUUUGGCUGAGAAAUUGUUAGAGAGACGCGAUGUCUGAUAUUGAUAGCCCAGCCUUGUGAUAUGAAACUUGUUUUUUCAUAAGUUAAUCCACUCGCAUGAAAUAUCUUGUUGUUUACGUGGUGAAUAUACUUCUAUAUAAAUUCAGCAAUAUUAGCAGUUUUUUUUUUUUUUUGGAGACGGAGUCCUGUCGUCCAGGCUGGAGUGCAAGGGCACGAUCUCAGCUCACUGCAACCAUCGUAUCCUUGCAACCCUUGCCUCCCGGGUUCAAGCGAUUCUCCUGUCUCAGCCUCCUGAGUAGCUGGGACUAUAGGCGCAUGCCACUGCACUCAGCUAAUUUUUGUAUUUUUAGUGCAGACGGGGUUUCACCAUGUUGGUUAGGAUGGUUUCGAUCUCUUGACCUUAGGUGAUCCAUCUGCCUCAGCCUCCGGAAGUACUGGGAUUACAGGUGUGAGCCACUGCACCUGGCCAACAUUAGCAAUUAUAAACAAAAAAAAUCUGGUAGGAAAAAGGCAAGUGGUAAUUGGAGUUCACAGGUGCAAAAAAUACUAUGUGAUUUCAUUUACCAGAAGUUCUAAGCAUAUAAUUAAGGCAAAACUAAUCUAGGCUGGGAAGAAGAGUUCCGUUUGGAAUAUGUUAACUCUGGAACAUCCAGGUGGGGACAUCCAGCAGAUAGUUUUAUAUAAUGGGAAUGAAGCCCAGUAGGAUGAUCUGAAGCUAUGAGAGUUAUCUUGAUAGUUACAUAGGGAGGUCUGAUUUUGCAAACGAAGAGUAAGUGUAGUGAGAAGAUCAUUGAGGACAAGGCUGUGUUGAAUCAAGUGCUGAAGAGUUGGAGCUGUAAGAGAGUAGCUCAAGUGCUUCACCAUCCGUGGGUCCAACUCUGUAAGAAGGAAAGCCUAGUCAACUCUGGGUAUGUAGAGUGGCCAGGGGACUGUAGGUCCUAGUGGGGUGGGAUUAUGAGAUUCAGAGAAGUGAGGAAGUGAGAAAACCAGGAGGAUGUGAGCCAGCAUGUAAAUAAAGUUUAAGCUUUUGGGCUGGGCCAGUUCUGACUUACAAAUAGAAUGAGACAUAUAAAUUCCACAAAGACAUGAGCAUUCUGCUUUCGUGUCCUCAGUAGGUAGGAUAGAGUAUGACAUAUGGUAAAUAAUAAAUAUUUUAUAAGCAAAUGAAUAAAUGAAUGAUGUAUUUCUGAAGUACAUGGAAUAGAAAGUUAAUAAAAUGGAUGAGGUCAAGGAAGUCUUUUGAAAUUUUUAGAAAACCUAAAUAGGUGACUUUGAUUUGUGUUUAGGAAUACAUAUUUCGUAUCUUUCCUUGUAGAAAGCAAAUUAAUAGGUAUAUUCAGGAGCUUUCUAUUGCCUUGCAUAUGAUCAUAUUCAGAAAACAUCUUUUACUAUUUCCUCCCUUAGAGAAAAUGCAUUUACAUAAUAUGUAAAUAUCUAUAUUCUAAUUAACAUUCUAUUUUGAGAAUUUUACCAGACUACCACUUGAAAAUGUUUGACGUGAGAUUGUAUAAUAUCACCUAUGAUGUCGUCUAACUAAAUGUUUAACUUGAAUACAUUGAGCUGUUCUUUCAGUUUAUAGGAAACACAAAGGAUAUAAGAGUAAACUAAAUGGCACCACAAGGAAACAACCAGAUAGAUUGAGAAGAUGGGACAUUUUGUAGGACAGUUCACCAGCUUAUUUAACAAGUCAGUGAGGUUUAGAAGAACAAAAAAGAAUUCUGGUAGAUUAGAAGAGGAAGCUGGAUUGCAUUGUUGUUUGGAUCAAGCAAUUGUAAAAAAAUUCCGUGACUAUUGAAGUUAUUAGACUAUGGACUGGAUAUGAGAAAAAUGAAAAUUUAUUGAUGUGGAAAGAUGUUGAUCAUCAGUCAGUAAAACAGAAUAUAAAACAUGUGCAAUAGAAUUUUGACAAAAAUCAUUUAUGCUUAUAAAUGUAUAAAAAUGAUCUGAAAGGAUAUAUAAUAAGAUUUUAAAGGGCUACUAUCUGGUUUGUGGGAAUAUGAUAUUUUUAUUUUCUUGUUGUUUAUCUGUAUUUUCUAGCUCUUACAAUGCCUUUGUUUCUUUGAAAUAUU